GAGCUGUAUCCUGACAUCCACCCGCCUCCUUCCUUGCCCCUUCCAGGGCAGUUCACCUGCCCCCAGUGCCGAAAGAGCUUUACACGUCGCAGCUUUCGUCCCAACUUGCAGCUGGCCAACAUGGUCCAGAUAAUUCGCCAGAUGUGCCCCACUCCUUAUCGGGGAAACCGGAGAAAUGAUCAGGGCAUGUGCUUUAAACACCAGGAAGCCCUGAAACUCUUCUGUGAGGUGGACAAAGAGGCCAUCUGUGUGGUGUGCCGAGAAUCCAGGAGCCACAAACAGCACAGCGUGGUGCCUUUGGAGGAGGUGGUUCAGGAGUACCAGGCAUAACUGGAUGCCUGGAUUGUCCUGCCACCCAGCUGCCACCAAU
rnacentral:sRNA from 1 species